GAUGAAGAACGUAGCGAAAUGCGAUACUUGGUGUGAAUUGCAGAAUCCCGUGAACCAUCGAGUCUUUGAACGCAAGUUGUGCCGAAGCCAUCAGGUUGAGGGCACGUCUGCCUGGGCGUCACAUAUCGUUGCCCAAUGCCUAUUGCAGUGCAAUAGGAAUUUCUAGGGCGAAUGAUGGCUUCCCGUGAGCGUUGUUGCCUCGCGGUUGGUUGAAAAUCGAGUCCUUGGUAGGGUGUGCCAUGGUAGAUGGUGGUCGAGUUAGAACGAUACCGAUCAUGUGCAUGCUCCCCAAAAUAUGGCCUCUAUGACCCACACGCGUCUUUUGACGCUCAUGACGAGACCUCAGGUCAGGCGGGGCUACCCGCUGAAUUUAAGCAUAUCAAUAAGCGGAGGA
rnacentral:misc_RNA from 1 species